CCAUGGGGGGGGGGGGGGCAUCCAACUCAGGUUUUGCCCAGGGCUACAGUAUGCCCAGGGCUGCCUCGUUGCGCCCCUGAGGCUGAGAGUGAACUGGCCCAGAGUUGCCAGCAAACAUCCAUGGCAAAGGUGGGCUUUGAACCCGGGUCUCUCACAUCCUAGGCCAACACUUUAUCCACUCGACCAGGGGGCGGCAACCUUUUCCACCCAAAGAGCUAUUUGGACCGGUUUUCCAUGGCCCCGAAGGUCUACCGAGCUGGAGAGGCGGCUCCGCAUGAAGCCACCUCUGGUUCGGGCCCUCCACUCACCUUUCCUUCCAGUGCUGGGAGGCGGAGGUGCCGGGCAGGGAAACCCCCUCUGCCCGAUGGAGCAGGCAGCCGCCUGCUCUGUGGGGCAAAGGGGGGAUUGCAGCUGCAGGAAUGGCAGAGGGGGGAUGGCGGCUGUUCUGGAGGGACACACCCAUGCUACCCUCCAACGUCCAGGCCAUGUGGAGCCACAGUAUAAGGCUGAAAGAGCCGCAUGCGGCUCCGGAGCCGCAGGUUGCAGACCCCUGCACUAGACCACGCCAGCUCUCCACCUCAGGUCUGUGCCCCUUCACUGUCUUCUCGUGCAUGAAUUGGGCCUUAUGAGACAGACUGCAAAUUCGUCCAUUGCCUCUUUCUCCCUUAAGACACAAUUUAGAUUGUAAAUUCCUUGGGGCAGAGAUCUGACAUCACCAUUCGCAUCAAUGACAUCAUGUUCAUAGCCCUUUCUCCAUAUGAAUCUGCCUUGCUGCUCCUUCAUAGCUGCUUCACAAGCUCUCUACCACAUCCUGCUUUUGACCGGCGUUUGGCACGUGUGAAAUGAAGAGUGGGCUACUUCCGGGCUGGUGGCCUUAUUGCGGGAUGCCCUUUGGAAGCCAAGUCACGAGGUCCUCAACGGCUCUAUCCUUUUUGCUUCCAAACCAGGGCAGAUCACUCCACAACGUCCUUUGAUAAAUUGUUCUCUGCAUGUAGUUGAUUAAUUUCCUCCGUUUUGUUAAUCAAUUAAAUCCAGUUUCGAUUGAC